ensembl:lncRNA
CAAUGAGGGAGGGACGAGCAGUUUAGCAGAUGCAGAGCGGAGAGUGCGGGUCGGGAUGUAGGGUUUGACCAUGUCCUGGACGUAAGCUGGACCUGAUCCAUUCACAGCAUGGUAUGUGAGCACCAAUUCUUUUCCGGGAAAGAGAAGUAGUUCAGUCUUGUCGGGGUUGAUUUUCAGAUGGUGGGCGGAUCCACUGAGAGAUCAGUCAGACAGGCAGAGAUCCGUGCCGCCACCUGGGUGUCCGAGGGAGGGAAGGAGAGAAUUAUUU